AGUGAACGCUGGCGGUAGGCCUAACACAUGCAAGUCGAACGGCAGCACAGUAAGAGCUUGCUCUUACGGGUGGCGAGUGGCGGACGGGUGAGGGAUACAUCGGAAUCUACGUGUUCGUGGGGGAGAACGUAGGGAAACUUACGCUAAUACCGCAUACGACCUACGGGUGAAAGCAUGGGAUCUUCGGACCUUGCGCGAUUGGAUGAGCCGAGGUCGGAUUAGCUAGUUGGCGGGGUAAAGGCCCACCAAGGCGACGAUCCGUAGCUGGUCUGAGAGGAUGAUCAGCCACACUGGAACUGAGACACGGUCCAGACUCCUACGGGAGGCAGCAGUGGGGAAUAUUGGACAAUGGGCGAAAGCCUGAUCCAGCCAUGCCGCGUGGGUGAAGAAGGCCUUCGGGUUGUAAAGCCCUUUUGUUGGGGAAGAAAAGCAGUAGGUUAAUACCCCGCUGUUCUGACGUUACCCAAAGAAUAAGCACCGGCUAACUUCGUG
rnacentral:rRNA from 1 species